rnacentral:rRNA from 1 species
GUUGCUUAGGAAAUGAAUAGAAGUUCAGCCCCCCGGCUUUCUUAGGACCUUAAGGUAAAACUAAUAUUGUCCCAAAGAAACCAGGAGAGUUAGUCAAAGGAGGUACAGCUCCUUUGAACAAGGACACAACCUUAACAGGCGGCUAAGGAUCAUAGUUACCAAGGUAACCUGUUACAGUGGGCCUAAGAGCAGCCACCUGCACAGAAAGCGUUAAAGCUCAGACAGAUACAAACCUCUUAUCCUGAUAAGAAAUCCCACCCCCCUAACCGUACUAAGCCGUUCCAUGCCCCCAUGGAAGAGAUUAUGCUAGAAUGAGUAAUAAGAGAGUACAACUCUCUCCCAGCACAUGUGUAAGUCGGACCGGACCCCCCACCGACAAAUAACGAACCCAAACCAAGAGGGAACUGUAGGCCAGAACAAACACCAAGAAAAACCUACACCAACAAAUCGUUACCCCCACACAGGAGUGCCCCAAGGGAAAGACCCAAAGGAAGAGAAGGAACUCGGCAAACACAAGCCUCGCCUGUUUACCAAAAACAUCGCCUCUUGCAAAUCAAAACAUAAGAGGUCCCGCCUGCCCUGUGACUAUUGGUUUAACGGCCGCGGUAUUUUG